CCUACGGGAGGCUGCAGCAAGGAAUCUUGCACAAUGGGGGAAACCCUGAUGCAGCAACGCCGCGUGAGUGAUGAAGGCUUUCGGGUUGUAAAGCUCUUUUAUUGGGGACGAGAAAAAGGACGGUACCUAAUGAAUAAGCCACGGCUAACUACGUGCCAGCAGCCGCGGUAAUACGUGGGUAGCGAGCGUUAUCCGGAAUUAUUGGGCGUAAAGGGCCCGCAGGCGGCACAUUAAGUCAGGUGUGAAAUCUCCCGGCUCAACUGGGAGGGGACACUUGAAACUGGUGAGCUUGAGGACAGCAGGGGGAAGCGGAACUCCCGGUGUAGCGGUGAUAUGCGUAGAUAUCGGGAGGAACACCAGUGGCGAAGGCGGCUUCCUGGGCUGUUUCUGACGCUGAGGGGCGAAAGCGUGAGGAGCAAACCGGAUUAGAUACCCCUGUAGUC
rnacentral:rRNA from 1 species